rnacentral:misc_RNA from 1 species
CCAUCUAAAACAGCUGAUUUAAUUUCCAAAACAUUAACAUUUGCUUAAGUUUGCAUAAAGUAAUUUUUGUUUGAUAAAAAAAAUGCCAUCUCAUACAUGUAUUGUGUGUAAAUUAAAGUUGACAUUUGUGAAGCAAAGAAAGCUUGCCGUUUCCUUUCACGCAUUUCCAAGGUAUCCAUACACAAAACAAGCAUGGAUAGAGUUUUGCGGCACCGACACAGGUGUGGUGUGCUCGGGACACUUUUCCGACGACUGCUUUAUUGCUGGGCGUGAUGAAAAUUAUAAACGUCGCCGAUUGUUUGCAUGGGCUGUACCCACUAUUCGAGUCCCAGUAAAAAUAAAUGGAUCAAGCAUUUUAUCUGAAAACAGUUCAUCGAGUUUGAGUGAAACUAUUCAACCAGAAAUUUCAAAGUCCGUUGACUCGAAGGAAGCUACGCACAUUUCGGCGGAUGAUAUAAUUUUAACACAGAGUGCUACAGUUUCCCAGCUCAAGGCCCAAGUGCAGGAGCAUAAAUCAAAGCUGGAAGACACGAACAAAAAGUUACACGAGAUCAGGGUGGCCACCUCGGGAAAAAACCGGGAAAACCGGGAAAAACCCGGGAUUUUUAUCCACCGGGAGAAAACCGGGAAAAACUCGGGAAUUCGACUGACAAACCGGGAAAAUAUUUUAAGUUUAUUUAAAUUUUGACAAAAGCCCCUCUUUAAUGUAUUCAAUAUGUUCUUUUCUCAAAUAGAAUAUUAUUCCUGUUAUUCUAAAUGAAUAAAUCGCGAAAACUAGCAUUUUUUUCCUCUACAGCAGCGGUUCUCGACCACAUGUACCCCUGUGGGUACCACGAGCGGUCUC